rnacentral:sRNA from 1 species
ACAGCAGUGUACAAGGUGUCAGAGUAUGCACGGCGCUUUGGUGUUCCGGUCAUUGCUGAUGGAGGAAUCCAAAAUGUGGGUCAUAUUGCAAAAGCCUUGGCCCUUGGGGCCUCCACAGUCAUGAUGGGCUCUCUUCUGGCUGCCACCACUGAGGCCCCUGGUGAAUACUUCUUUUCCGAUGGGAUCCGGCUAAAGAAAUAUCGCGGUAUGGGUUCUCUCGAUGCCAUGGACAAGCACCUCAGCAGCCAGAACAGAUAUUUCAGUGAAGCUGACAAAAUCAAAGUGGCCCAGGGGGUGUCUGGUGCUGUGCAGGACAAAGGGUCCAUCCACAAAUUUGUCCCUUACCUGAUUGCUGGCAUCCAACACUCAUGCCAGGACAUUGGUGCCAAGAGCUUGACCCAAGUCCGGUGAGCUUGGGGAGCUGGGACAUGGGUAGAGGGGCUGGUCCAGGGCCAGCUACCCACAUUUGAUCUCUGCCCUUCUUCAGAGCCAUGAUGUACUCUGGGGAGCUUAAAUUUGAGAAGAGAACGUCCUCAGCCCAGGUGGAAGGUGGCGUCCAUAGCCUCCAUUCGUAAGUCACCCUGUCCUCGGUGGGGCCUCUGCCAUGCCUCAUGCCUCCUUUCUCCUGCCCUCACCUCACAGGUGGUCCUUCUGCCUGCAGGUAUGAGAAGCGGCUUUUCUGAAAAGGGAUCCAGCACACCUCCUCGGCUUUUUUUUUCCAAUUA